UCGGAAGAAUUUCGUUGUACC
rnacentral:piRNA from 1 species